GCAAUGGUGGUUCAAUGGUAGAGUUCUUGCCUCCUAUAUGGGAAGACCUGGGUUCGAUUCCUGGCCAAUGGA
rnacentral:tRNA from 1 species